GUCACAGUGGGUGGAGUUGGUUGAACUGGUGGCAAAGGAACCACAGGAGGAGGGUUCACAAUGGGUGGUUUUGGCACAUAAGGUGGUGUAACGGGAACAACUGGUGGUUUAGGAACGUAAGGAGGUGUAACGGGGACAACCGGAGGUUUUGGGAUGUAAGGAGGAAUAACUGGUACAACCGGUGGUUUAGGGAUGUAGGGUGGUGUGACAACCGGUGGUUUAGGGAUGUAAGGUGGUGUGACAACCGGUGGUUUGGGGACAUAUGGGGGUGGUUUGACAACUGGGGGUAGUGGAACAUAAGGGGGAUGUGGGUGAACUGGCGGUCUAGGGUGAG
rnacentral:lncRNA from 1 species